rnacentral:rRNA from 1 species
UACAUGGGGUGCAACCGUUGCUCGGAAUCAUUGGGCGUAAAGCGCGCGUAGGCGGUUACUUAUGUCGGAUGUGAAAGCCCUCGGCUUAACUGAGGAAGUGCAUUCGAAACUGGGUAGCUAGAGUACUAAAGAGGGUCGCGGAAUUCCCGGUGUAGAGGUGAAAUUCGUAGAUAUCGGGAGGAACACCGGUGGCGAAGGCGGCGACCUGGGUAGAUACUGACGCUGAGGCGCGAAAGCGUGGGGAGCAAACAGG